AGAGUUUGAUCCUGGCUCAGGAUGAACGCUAGCUACAGGCUUAACACAUGCAAGUCGAGGGGCAGCAGGACGAUAGCUUGCUAUUGUUGCUGGCGACCGGCGCACGGGUGAGUAACGCGUAUCCAACCUUCCCCAUAGUAGGGAAUAGCCCGGCGAAAGUCGGAUUAAUGCCCUAUGUUGUAUUUUGAGGACAUCUGACGAAUACCAAAGAUUCAUCGCUAUGGGAUGGGGAUGCGUCUGAUUAGCUUGUUGGCGGGGUAACGGCCCACCAAGGCUACGAUCAGUAGGGGUUCUGAGAGGAAGGUCCCCCACAUUGGUACUGAGACACGGACCAAACUCCUACGGGAGGCAGCAGUGAGGAAUAUUGGUCAAUGGGCGGAAGCCUGAACCAGCCAAGUAGCGUGCAGGACGACUGCCCUAUGGGUUGUAAACUGCUUUUAUAGGGGAAUAAAGUGAGGUAUGCAUACCUUUUUGUAUGUACCCUAUGAAUAAGGACCGGCUAAUUCCGUGCCAGCAGCCGCGGUAAUACGGAAGGUCCGGGCGUUAUCCGGAUUUAUUGGGUUUAAAGGGAGCGCAGGCUGGAUUUUAAGCGUGCUGUGAAAUGUACCGGCUCAACCGGUGACGUGCAGCGCGAACUGGAGUCCUUGAGUGAGUACGAGGUAUGCGGAAUUCGUGGUGUAGCGGUGAAAUGCUUAGAUAUCACGAAGAACUCCGAUUGCGAAGGCAGCGCGCAAGCCGUUGACUGACGCUGAGGCUCGAAAGUGCUGGGAUCUAACAGGUGUAGAUACCCUUGUCGACCGCAUUGUAAACGAUGAUAACUCGCUGUUGGCGAUAUACAGUCAGUGGCCAAGCGAAAGCGAUAAGUUAUCCACCUGGGGAGUACGACCGCAAGGUUGAAACUCAAAGGAAUUGACGGGGGCCCGCACAAGCGGAGGAACAUGUGGUUUAAUUCGAUGAUACGCGAGGAACCUUACCCGGGCUCGAACGGCA
rnacentral:rRNA from 1 species